UGAGUAACACGUAUGCAACCUGCCUGCCACAGCCGGAUAAUCGGGAGAAAUUCCGUCUAAUACGGCAUAAUGCAUCGACGGGACAUCCUGUUGGUGCCAAAGGUUAAUUCCGGUGGCGGAUGGGCAUGCGUCGCAUUAGUUAGUUGGCGGUGUAACGGACCACCAAGACGACGAUGCGUAGGGGUUCUGAGAGGAAGGCCCCCCACACUGGGACUGAGACACGGCCCAGACUCCUACGGGAGGCAGCAG
rnacentral:rRNA from 1 species